AUUGAACGCUGGCGGCAUGCCUUACACAUGCAAGUCGAACGGCAGCGCGGGGCAACCUGGCGGCGAGUGGCGAACGGGUGAGUAACAUAUCGGAACAUACCCUAGAGUGGGGGAUAACGUAGCGAAAGUUACGCUAAUACCGCAUACGCACUAAGGUGGAAAGUGGGGGAUUCGCAAGAACCUCAUGCUCAUGGAGUGGCCGAUAUCUGAUUAGCUAGUUGGUGAGGUAAAGGCUCACCAAGGCGACGAUCAGUAGCUGGUCUGAGAGAACGACCAGCCACACUGGAACUGAGACACGGUCCAGACUCCUACGGGAGGCAGCAGUGGGGAAUUUUGGACAAUGGGGGCAACCCUGAUCCAGCAAUGCCGCGUGAGUG
rnacentral:rRNA from 1 species